rnacentral:rRNA from 1 species
UACGGAGGGGGCUAGCGUUGCUCGGAAUCACUGGGCGUAAAGGGCGCGUAGGCGGGAUGGCAAGUCGGUCGUGAAAUCCUCGGCUCAACUCGAGGGGGUCGGCCGAUACUGCCGUUCUUGAGGGAUGCAGAGGAGACUGGAAUUCCCGGUGUAGCGGUGAAAUGUGUAGAGAUCGGGAGGAACACCGGUGGCGAAGGCGGGUCUCUGGGCAUUCCCUGACGCUGAGGCGCGAAAGCGUGGGGAGCAAACGGG